rnacentral:miRNA from 1 species
UAGCUGGGCAUGAUCUGAUGAGC